CCAAAUCCAAAUCUGCUCAGAAAAUAUUCUUUUCUCUACCGAUGCAGCAUCUGUUCUUCACCCUUUCACUCCUUUAAAACUCCCUUUCAAGAACAUUCCCGGUCCUUUUCCAUCUCCAAUCUGCAAAAUCUGCCACUUAAAAUACUUUCAACCUCAAGAGUUCAAGACACCCAUCAAGCUUAUCAAGCCAAAUAAGCAAUACUACAGCACAUUCAUUCAAAACCAAACUGAACAAGGUUCGAAUCUCUCCCUUCAACUUUUAUACCACUAGCAUGUAUUUCCUCUACAACUAGAUUUACAAUCUCACACAUUGACAUGAACUUUGAACAGCAUACUUUUCAUUCAUAACUUGUAAGGAUUUUUAGUAAAACACAAUCUCUGCUAAAAUAAGACUAUUAAAAUCUGUACUACAACAAAGCAACUAUAUCAAGAACAGUACCAACGAACACAAACUUGACGCCUUUACCUGCUUCCUUUCUCGUGAACCAAUUCCCAUUAUUCUUCAAGAACAUACCUUGUUUAACUCUGCAAGUUCGAUCUUCCUUUCCUUCUUCCUCUUGGGCUGGGAUGUGGGAGUCUUGGUCUGGAAUGUGGGAGUCGAGGGAAGAAGAGGGUCUUCUGCCCGGUGAUGAGGACGGCGGCGGCACGGCGAAUUUCAGAACGCCGUUGCUCGGCCGGCCGCGAGGAAGAAAGGGGAGUCGGCUGGCAGCAGGACUGCUGUGGUAGAGUCGCUGCCUAGGUGGCUGACCACCACACGCAGAGGGAGAAGUGAUGGAGCGGGCUGGGCCGUGAGAGGGAGCGCUGGAGGAUGGCGGCGGCGCGGCCGGAGGCCAGGCGCGCUGCCCGCUGUGAAAACAGCAGCGGCGGCGGCAACCUUCCUCGGCCGUCCGCUGCAGAUGACGCAAGGGAGAAGGAGGGUGGGGAGCGCGAGGUGGCUGGUGGCUGACGGCGACGGCCAGGGCGGCGCGGCCUAAGGCCGAGCGCCGCUGACGCGGCGGAAAUGGAGCAGCAUCGGCGGCGGCCCUCCUUGACCGUCUGCUAUCGGGAGCGAGAGAAUGAAGGCGAUGAGAGGGAGGCCCCGGAUCCGGCGAUUUCGCCGGAGCUGGAGGCGGCCGGCGUGGAGCUCGGGAGGGAAGGCGGAGGUUCUGGAGAAAAGGGGGGCGAGGCGAGAGAGGGAGAGAGAAGCGUGAGUAGAGAGAGAGGAAGAUUGACUUGUUUUAUUUUAAUUACCUUUAGGUUUAUUUAAGCUUUGUUUGGGCCUCAUUUCAUAAUAAUUUGAUGGGCUUUUUCUUUGACAUGGGCCGAUUCUUAAUAGAGUACCGGGCCGAUUUUAAUUAUUUAAAUGGGCUACACUAUGUUUUAAAUUGAUUUUUGGGCUGC
rnacentral:lncRNA from 1 species